UGGGAAUGCCAAAGUUAGGGUUGCCCUAUUCUUGCCCAAUGGUGGAUGGUGUUUAGACCUUUUAAAAGCUCUAAGGUCACUGCAUAACAUGAGAACUGGGCCCCUGUUCUUCACCCUGAUAAUGAACCAAGUACACAAAUGUAAUGACAAUUUGGAAGGCUUGUGGUUCAUCUAGAACACCCAGCUAUGACCGUGUAUGUGCGCUGCAUGCUAGCUUCCCAAUGGCACAGGUAGCCAGCUUGAGAUUGACUCAGCCUUCCAUCCUUCUAAGAGAAACUCUUGGGAAUAGUGCUCGAGGAGAGAGGACAACAACAAAAUGGAAGAAGACAUGGAAGUUACUAAGACCCAGGUUUUGCAGAAGCUAAUGAUUUUACCAUGACAUGCACAGUUCACUACUUAGAACUUGUUUGGUUCAUCUUCAAAGGCCAGAAUCCAGCAUGAAAUUUGGCAUGCUUGCCCGCUGCCUUUAAAUGGGCUCCUAUGUCUCUGUUAUGGAUUACCAUCCAAAAUGUCUUUCACUUUCACCAUAAAAUGGAGCAGAGUAAAAGAAAAGAAAAUUCAAAGCAUCUGGAGUAGAGAU